UUGCUUUGCCGGCACACACACUAAAAUCAGAACAAUACAGAGAAGAUUAGUGGGGCUCCUAAUGUGCAAGGAAGACACGCAAAUGGGUGAUGCAUUCCAUAUUUUU